UACGUAGGGUGCGAGCGUUGUCCGGAAUUAUUGGGCGUAAAGAGCUCGUAGGUGGUUUGUCGCGUUGUCCGUGAAAACUCACAGCUUAACUGUGGGCGUGCGGGCGAUACGGGGCAGACUGGAGUACUGCAGGGGAGACUGGAAUUCCUGGUGUAGCGGUGGAAUGCGCAGAUAUCAGGAGGAACACCGGUGGCGAAGGCGGGUCUCUGGGCAGUAACUGACGCUGGAGGAGCGAAAGCGUGGGGAGCGAACAGG
rnacentral:rRNA from 1 species